GAUGAAGAACGCAGCGAAAUGCGAUAAUUAAUGUGAAUUGCAGAAUUCCGUGAAUCAUCGAGUCUUUGAACGCACAUUGCGCCUCAUGGCAUUCCGUGAGGCAUGCCCAUCUCAGCGUUAGAAAAUAUUCUCAAAUUUUAGUUUUGUGCUAAAAUUUGGAUCAUGUCAAGGAAGCUAUUACUAUUAUUGUGAUCGCUCUUUGGAAAUUGAUAGGUCUUUGAGUUGCUACUCAUAGAACGUGAUGAAUCUUUCUUCGUUCUAUUGUAAUUCACUCUGGUAGUCCUAAAACUUGUAUGCCUGUGGCAUAUCUUGUAAUUUGACCUGAGAUUGGGUAGGGAUACCCGCUGAACUUAAGCAUAUCAAUAAGCGGAGGA
rnacentral:misc_RNA from 1 species